rnacentral:rRNA from 1 species
CAACCUUCCUACAAGUGGGGAAUAGCCCAGAGAAAUUUGGAUUAAUACCCCGUAACAUAAUGAUAUGGCAUCAUAUUAUUAUUAUAGCUUCGGCGCUUGUUGAUGGGUGUGCGGCUGAUUAGAUAGUUGGCGGGGUAACGGCCCACCAAGUCUACGAUCAGUAGCUGAUGUGAGAGCAUGAUCAGCCACACGGGCACUGAGACACGGGCCCG